GACAGAGGUCCCGAGCGUUAGGCGGAAUCACUGGGCUUAAAGCGUGUGUAGGCGGAUCGUUAAGUACCUUGUGAAAUCCCACGGCUUAACCGUGGAACUGCUUGGUAUACUGGCGAUCUUGGGCCAACUAGGGGCAGCCGGAACAAGCGGUGGAGCGGUGAAAUGCGUAGAUAUCGCUUGGAACGCCGAAGGUGAAAACAGGCUGCUGGGGUUGUGCCGACGCUGAGACACGAAAGCCAGGGGAGCAAACGGG
rnacentral:rRNA from 1 species